rnacentral:lncRNA from 1 species
GGGCCCUCGCAUCGCACGAGACCUAGCAAGAAAGGUCCCAGAGAAAAAACACAAAACAAUAUAUUAGGGCCGAUCGCGUCAGACAUCGCACAAAAAAUUAUCCGCCUCGUCCAAGGGCCUCGCAUCGCACGAGACCUAGCGAGAAACGUCCCAGAGAAAAAACUCAAAACAGUAAAUUAGGGCCGAUCGCGUGAGACAUUGCACAAAAACUUUUCCGCCUCAUCCAAGGGCCUCGUGUCUCGGGAGGUCUUGUACACGCCCAAGUGAGUUUUACUAAAACUGUAAACCNNNNNNNNNNNNNNNNNNNNNNNUCACUUAGUCAAAACACACGCACAAACAUCUCUUCUCCCCUCCCCCCUCCCCCCACAUACCCCAUUAUCAACCCUUCCCCCCUCCUCUCCUUCUCAUGCCAAAACAAGGUAAUUCUGUCCCUCUCUCCUCUUUCCGUCCUUGUUUCUUUGCUGCUAUGCUUCUCUUAGAUUAUCCAUAGUUCCCUUAUUUUUCUAGUUUAUGUAGUUAGAUUAGUUGGUUAAAACGUUGAGCAUAAGAUUGGGUUUGUUUGAUUUGGUUGUUGAACAAGUGAGGGGGAAAAUAAAGUUUCAACCAAUCACUCACAAUUGGGAUGGUAUUCACGAAUUAAAGGUAUUGAAAUAAUGAGAAGAAUUCUAUGCACGUAAGGUGCUCGAUAAAAUACCUAAAUGAAAUUUUCAAUAGAUUUGGCAAAGUUUGAGUAGCAACCAGACUUUUAAUGGACUUGUUAGCAUUCCUUAAGUGUGGAGUGGCCAUUUGGGAACACUUGAACUUAAAUUGCACUUGUUCUGGACAAGUUUUAACCGACUUAGACACGACUCGCGCAUCACCUCGGCCUAUUUGAACUUCAAUUGUAUGAUAUGGUUUUAAAUGAAUGUUAUUGUGUUAAGGUAGUCACUUGUGCCUCGUCUUCUCACUUACGCUCAUGAUCUAAGUGUGGGGUGCGUCACGUAGUACUUUAACUCAUUAAGUUAAGAUCAAAUUAUCAUGAAUUCGGUGUUCUUCGCUGGUACAAUGGUUGUUUCUAAGAUACCUAGUUGCACACCUAGAAUGGGAGGAGAUGGUAAACCUUAACCAAAGAAGCCAUCUAAUAAUAAGGAUGCGCAGAAACAUGCAAACAAAGAAAAGCUAACUAAGUUGAGGUAUGAAAGCACACAUGGAGGAACUUCUAAGGUGGGUACUGAGGCCAUCGUACUGAGUAUUGAACCACCCAUGCAACCACAACAAAAGGCAAAGACACAAACGUCUAGGACAAGAGAGGUUCCAUUCUAAACUAAAAAGAAAUCUUCAAAGCCAUCUCCUGCUAACAAGCAAAAGAAGUCCGAGGUAAAAGGCAAAGGAAAGGUAAAGUAGGUGUUUGUGACACAUCUGAUGCUAAGGUAAGAUUUUACAGCCCGAGGGAGAUGAGAGCCAAUUGCUCUGGUUGAUAAGUGGAUACGGGAUAAGAAAUUUAUGUGAGAGCUUGCUUGGAGGAUACAUUAUAGCAUAUCAAAGGAGCAAGUGCUUCCCCAAUUGCUAGAAAGUCCCCUAAAUCUAGAGGCUACAAAAGAUGCAUGUGUCAACAAAGUGGCUGAAAUAGAAGAAAGAGAAUGGUUAUGCUUUGCCCAAAGACCAAAGAUCAAGGCUAACUUGACUGUUCAAAGAUAUUUGUAUGCUAAUUGGGAAUGAACUCAGGGUGACAUUAUGAAGCUUCGCAGAGUGGACAUUGAUAUUUAUUCAAAGCAAUAAAUAGGUAUUACAGGGCAACAAAUCAGGUUAUGAUAGAUUAUUGGAGGAAGGAGACAUGACCGAACUUAACUCAUAUGCUUCCAACUCAGUGCGAAGAUCCAAGUAUUGCUAGUUGGAGCAAGAGAAAUGGUUUAGAAAAGGCUUUCAUGAAUAUGGAGGUGCCAACUUGGCUCAAUUGGAUAUGCAACAGAUGAAUACCAAUAAGUCAGAUCAUUGUGAUAUAGAAGCCAGUAUUUUUCAUCCAUGCUUUUAUGACAUCGGUCUAUGUAAGCAUUGGAGAGAUAUAGAGGAGUUAGAUAGCUAAGACAUGUAAGAACAUGCAAUAGGGACACUACUUUGUACACACCUGCCUGCAUUAUUGGAGAGUACAAGUUGUACGAGAAGGGAGAUGUGAUACUUGAUGGAAAAAAGAAGCCAUUUCAUGACAUAUUCUAUGUCCAGUACCUAAAUGAAUAUAACCUCCAGAAGAAAGGCCAUGGGGAGCAGAUCACUACCAUGGAGAGUGAGCUCAGGUAGUUAAGAGUAGAUUUGGAGGUACGUGAUCAUACAUUGAUGACUGCAGCAAAGGUCCGGGACCAGAGGAUCAGUCCUAGUUUGAUUACAUGAUAGUCGUCCUUAAGAAGACGUUACUGACAAUGUCUGUUGGGGUGUGGACUGAUCUAGAGGAGGUGCAAAAGAUGGAGUCUAUUGCUACUGAUAACACUCUUGUUAAUGAGUCUGGAAAUGAUUAUUGCUACUGAGGAGCCUAUUGAGGCAAGAGUUGAGGUUGUGGCGACUGGAGAUCCUCAUAUGGGGGAGGGUGAGCUGAUAAAGGCCGUUGAUACACCUAGCGUCGGGCUUAAGGAUCCAUCAACAUAGAGGUCCGAGGUUCGAGGUUGAUCCCCUCCUCACCACAGUUGUCUUGAGGAACUUUCUAAUACCUACUCUACUUUUAAGCUUUAUUUGUUAUUUUUAUGAUAACGUGCAACUGAGGACAAUACACAACUUACGUGUGGGGUAGGGAUGUCAGACUUUUUGUGAUUGGCAUGUACUUUAACUAAUAUUCUUGAUUUAUGUGUUUCUUGUUUCUUGAUAUAUAUAUGAUGAUUAUGACUUGAGUCUACUGUAAUUGUAUAACGCAUUAGUGUAGUAUUUUUCUUAGAUUUAUCUCGGAUUUUCUUUGAAUCACGGUUGUUUACCGAGGAUGCCAAUUUUUUUAACCUGGUUAUUGUAGCUAUUAAUUUAAGUUUUUGCGGGUUUGACAUUAGACUUUUAAAUUACUUUACUAGUUGUGGACCAUGUAUACUUCCGUAUACUUUGUGAACCAAUACCAAUUGUAUUGCAUAAAAUCGAGUGAACAAGAUUGCAUUGCUAUUGGAGAUAUUAUUGUUACACUGAGUUUUAAUGAUGACUUUCUCAAUAAUAGAAAUACUCAUCUCAUUCAAAUCUAUACAGGAAAAUAGAAAGGAAAGAAAUGCAAGUGAUGCAAAUGGUCCGUCUAGAUUCAAGAAAUCAAAACAAGAGGAAAAGCAAACUAAUGCACAAGAUCCGAGACCAUAAGACAUUCGAAGGAGCAUCAAUCAAACAACUUAGUAGAUGGAAGAUGGAUUUACUAGCGGAAAAUGAUCGAGUGAUCAACUCUCAAUCAACUAACUAUCCGAAAAUCCAUCCUGAAGAUAUGGCAAACACAAGAAAGGAAACAGAGUUUGGCAUAUGAAUUCAGUCCACAUCUAUUGACUGGAUUCAUAGGCAUCCCUUGGGUCAAAUCUCUUAGAAAAUAUCUUGUCUCAAUCAAUGGAUAUUUUUCAAUCUCGCUUGAAAACAAUAAAGAUUUUGGUGACCGAGAUAACUCAAGACCUGCCUAUAUGAAGAACUCAGAAAAUCAGAGAACACACGAAGCUUCAAUAUACAAGCUUUCUACAUCUUUCUAGUUUUUAGUUAAAAUAUUGUAUUCUUGAGUUUGCUAGUGUCACAAAAGAUAGAAAGAAAUAGAAAACAGCCAAGAGGUUGCGUCAAGAACUUGGGAAACGUUUAAUUGUACAUCGUUUGUGGUGAACGAAAGAAACCAUAACUGUUAUAACACAUUAUCUUUGAAGAACUAAGAGAACCCUUGUGACCCAAGGGAACUGGAUGAAGGUACCACACCGGUACACGAACCAGUAUAAUAUUCAGUGCCUUCUUUAUUUCUUUUUACAUAAAUAUUCGUUACUGCUAUUUUGCUCUAACCUAUUGCCUGUAGGGAAAAGAGUCGACUAAUAUUAAAUUAGUCACCUAAGUUUUUUUUGGACACAAUUCACCCCUCCCCUAUUGUAUUUCAAUUGGUAUAAGAGAAAGGUCUAACAACAAUACAAUUUUCUUAACCACAAAUGAGUAAAAGAUCAUUGGAUCUAACACAGUUAUCAGAG